rnacentral:rRNA from 1 species
UGCCUAAUACAUGCAAGUCGAGCGAACAGACGAGGAGCUUGCUCCUCUGACGUUAGCGGCGGACGGGUGAGUAACACGUGGAUAACCUACCUAUAAGACUGGGAUAACUUCGGGAAACCGGAGCUAAUACCGGAUAACAUGUUGAACCGCAUGGUUCAACAGUGAAGGACGGUCUUGCUGUCACUUAUAGAUGGAUCCGCGCCGCAUUAGCUAGUUGGUAAGGUAACGGCUUACCAAGGCAACGAUGCGUAGCCGACCUGAGAGGGUGAUCGGCCACACUGGAACUGAGACACGGUCCAGACUCCUACGGGAGGCAGCAGUAGGGAAUCUUCCGCAAUGGGCGAAAGCCUGACGGAGCAACGCCGCGUGAGUGAAGAAGGUCUUCGGAUCGUAAAACUCUGUUAUUAGGGAAGAACAAAUGUGUAAGUAACUAUGCACGUCUUGACGGUACCUAAUCAGAAAGCCACGGCUAACUACGUGCCAGCAGCCGCGGUAAUACGUAGGUGGCAAGCGUUAUCCGGAAUUAUUGGGCGUAAAGCGCGCGUAGGCGGUUUUUUAAGUCUGAUGUGAAAGCCCACGGCUCAACCGUGGAGGGUCAUUGGAAACUGGAAGACUUGAGUGCAGAAGAGGAAAGUGGAAUUCCAUGUGUAGCGGUGAAAUGCGCAGAGAUAUGGAGGAACACCAGUGGCGAAGGCGACUUUCUGGUCUG